AGCGAACGCUGGCGGCAGGCUUAACACAUGCAAGUCGAGCGGGCAUCCUUGUGGUGUCAGCGGCAGACGGGUGAGUAACGCGUGGGAACGUGCCCUUCGGUUCGGAAUAACUCAGGGAAACUUGAGCUAAUACCGGAUACGUGCGAGAGCAGAAAGGUUUAUCUGCCGAAGGAUCGGCCCGCGUCUGAUUAGCUAGUUGGUGAGGUUAUGGCUCACCAAGGCGACGAUCAGUAGCUGGUCUGAGAGGAUGAUCAGCCACACUGGGACUGAGACACGGCCCAGACUCCUACGGGAAGCAGCAGUGGGGAAUAUUGGACAAUGGGGGCAACCCUGAUCCAGCCAUGCCGCGUGAGCGAUGACGGCCUUAGGGUUGUAAAGCUCUUUUCUCCGGGACGAUAAUGACGGUACCGGAGGAAUAAGCCCCGGCUAACUUCGUG
rnacentral:rRNA from 1 species